UCCUGGUUACCCAGGCAGUCCCAUCAGAGUGCUCCAUCACUGGAUAGCAACUGACAGCAGGGGUUGCGCUCGUUAUAGGACUUAACCAAACGUCUCACGACACGAGCUGACGACAGCCAUGCAGCACCUGUGUAUGCGUCCAAGGUUUCCCUUGGAAAACCGUGUUUCCACGGCGAGCACAUACAUGUCAAACCUAGGUAAGGUUCCUCGCGUAGUGUCGAAUUAAACCACAUGUUCCACCGCUUGUGCGGACCCCCGUCAAUUCCUUUGAGUUUUAAUCUUGCGACCGUACUCCCCAGGCGGAUCACUUAACGCGUUAGCUUCGAUACUGAGACUGCAAGCAGUCCCAACAUCCAGUGAUCAUCGUUUACAGCGUGGACUAC
rnacentral:misc_RNA from 1 species